rnacentral:snoRNA from 1 species
CUGCCAGCCAGUUAUAAACUGUGAAAUCCUAUACUGUGGGGGCCAUGUGCAAUACAACUUCCUGGGUAGUAUACUGCAGCCUGCCUACUUUGAAUGGGUUGCCCUAAGGGACCUUAGAGACAGCC